rnacentral:misc_RNA from 1 species
UGUGAAACAUAAUUCUAGAUUUCUUAGAAAAAAAUGGGUCAUCCAGAUUUCAUGGUUACCUAAAAUACAAGACAUGCUCAUUUUUUGGGUUACGUGAUACUUUUGUUAAUCGUGACAUUCCGAGAAAUAUGCGGGCGUGUUGUAAUUUUUGCAAAAACGGAUGGGAAUUCGUCUCUGCAAAAUAGGAUAAAUUGAA